CGAACGCUGGCGGCGUGCUUCACACAUGCAAGUCGAACGCUGAAGCUUGGUGCUUGCACUGGGUGGAUGAGUGGCGAACGGGUGAGUAAUACGUGAGUAACCUGCCCUUGACUCUGGGAUAAGCCUGGGAAACUGGGUCUAAUACUGGAUACGACAUGUCACCGCAUGGUGGUGUGUGGAAAGGGUUUUACUGGUUUUGGAUGGGCUCACGGCCUAUCAGCUUGUUGGUGGGGUAAUGGCUCACCAAGGCGACGACGGGUAGCCGGCCUGAGAGGGUGACCGGCCACACUGGGACUGAGACACGGCCCAGACUCCUACGGGAGGCAGCAGUGGGGAAUAUUGCACAAUGGGCGGAAGCCUGAUGCAGCGACGCCGCGUGAGGGAUGACGGCCUUCGGGUUGUAAACCUCUUUCAGCACGGAAGAAGCGAAAGUGACGGUACGUGCAGAAGAAGCGCCGGCUAACUACGUG
rnacentral:rRNA from 1 species